UAGAUUACAUACUUUCCUUCGUGGCUCCUAUUUAUGACAUGCUUAGAGUUUACGACACCGAUAAGCCUUGUCUUCCCUUAGUUUAUGACAUGUGGGAUUUGAUGAUUGAAAAAGUGAGGAAGUGGA